rnacentral:lncRNA from 7 species
GCAUGUGUGAAGAGCUCAGAAGCCUGGAGAGAGGGAAGAAAACCUGAGAAGACCACAUGCAUGUCCAUGUAGAGCACUGUGGACAUCAUUGAUCACCCUGUGAUGGGUCAAGGCCUCCUCACCAUGUGAAGUCCAUGCGCUGCUUUACUUUCCAAAUCUGGAUCCAGAGACACCAAACCAAACCAUUCACUGCACACCUUGCCUUGCUGUAAUUUACAUUUGGCAUCAGGAUGCAGAUUUUCCUUUUUCCUGCAGCUUUUGAAAUGAAUGAUGAUGAUGGACUUCAUACAAAAAAGCAUCUAUCUUUUAAACUCCCACACCUCCCCUGAGCCUACAGAACUGUUAAAAGUAAAUUUAAGGCCUUUAUCUUACCAUCAAUUCACGAAGACUGGCAGCGGUGUUUACGUGGAGUCCACAAUGUGCCACCAGGUAUGUGUUAUGAAUUGAGGUGUGCCUCAUGAUUUUGGACGUCUGCAGGCUUCCAGGGAUUUGGACACACCCUUCACCUGGAGACAUCUGCUUGGAGCAGGUGGUGGAGACAGAACUGGGCUUUCUGCUGUUUGCUGCUGCUCUACUGUCCAGACUGCCUCAGAGCAUCAGAAUGUGAUGCUUCCCCAUGGUAAUAUUAUCCAGUAUUAAGAACCUAGUAAUAUUAUCCAAUAUUAAGAACCUGGGAGACUUCAUUUAAUGAUGUCAUCUCACAUAUUCUGGCAGAAUAUUAUAUGAGUAAAAUAAUUAAAGCGUAUUUUGUGGCACACCGAUAUAAAAUGCAAUGACAGAUCUAUAGCAAUAUGAUGGCUAAUUAAGGGUGAAACUUUCAAGAAACCAGCAAUGGCUAGAACCAUCUUCCAGUGGUAACAUGACUGUUUCCUUAGGGCCUUCCGUUGUCCAGUGAACUUGAUCUCUUUUAGGGUUGUUUAUGUAUUUAGGUCUUUGAAAAACUUCUGGCAACUUUCUUUUCUGUUGUGGUUAAGCAGAUGCAUUAAGUGCCAGAGGGCAAUAAAAUUAAAGAAGUCAAUAGCAAAGAAAGGCAACCAUUAAUCUUAUUUGGCAUCUACAAAGCAUCUAAAACUGAAAUGGACUUUACACAGACAUAAAAUGCAGUUUGUGUGACAAAGCUCUUUGUAGAUUGCACGUGGACCUAGUGUCUUUUCCUGCUUGGAAUACCAAGAAUCUGGAUUUCACUUGAUAACCUGGUGCAAUGUACUAGAUUGCAACUGUGUAACUCUGGAAAGCACUUACAAAAUAGCCUAUUCGGAGGAUUUCAGAACUCUGUUUAAAAUUAAGCACCUUGUAAAACUGUUAGAAAUUGGAAGUUCUGUUUUUCUGGCUGCUGGGUGCUGAAAACUUCUGAAUAUCUGGCAGUGGCAAAAAGUGAAUAAGGCAAUUUUCU